rnacentral:rRNA from 1 species
UUAAGUUAACAAGGGCGCAUGGUGAAUGCCUUGGCACUAGGAGCCGAUGAAGGACGGGACUAACACCGAUAUGCUUCGGGGAGCUGUACGUAAGCUAUGAUCCGGAGAUUUCCGAAUGGGGCAACCCAGCAGUUUUAAUCAACUGUUACCACUAGAUGAAUUCAUAGUCUAGUUGGAGGUAAACGCUGUGAACUGAAACAUCUCAUUAGCAGCAGGAAUAUAAAGAAAUUUCGAUUCCCUAAGUAGCGGCGAGCGAACGGGGAACAGCCCAAACCAAAGUGCUUGCACUUUGGGGUUGUAGGACUGAACAUUUGAGUUACCAAAGAACUUGAUAGUCGAAGGAUUUGGGAAAAUCCGCCAUAGAUGGUGAUAGCCCAGUAGAUUAAAUCAAAUUCUCUCAGUUCAGGAUCCUGAGUACGGCGGAACACGUGAAAUUCCGUCGGAAUCCGGGAGGACCAUCUCCCAAGGCUAAAUACUACCUAGUGACCGAUAGUGAACCAGUACCGUGAGGGAAAGGUGAAAAGCACCCCGGGAGGGGAGUGAAAUAGUUCCUGAAACCAUGUGCCUACAAUAAGUCAGAGCGCGUUAAUGCGUGAUGGCGUGCCUUUUGUAGAAUGAACCGGCGAGUUAUGAUCCCGUGCAAGGUUAAGACUAAAAAGUCGGAGCCGUAGCGAAAGCGAGUCUGAAAUGGGCGAUUUGAGUACGAGGUUAUAGACCCGAAACCAGGUGACCUAUCCAUGUCCAGGUUGAAGGUGCGGUAAAACGCACUGGAGGACCGAACCCGUGUAAGUUGAAAAUUGCUGGGAUGAGGUGUGGAUAGCGGUGAAAUUCCAAACGAACUUGGAGAUAGCUGGUUCUCUCCGAAAUAGCUUUAGGGCUAGCCUCGGAUUAAGGAUCAUGGAGGUAGAGCACUAUUUGGACUAGGGGCCCGUCUUGGGUUACUGAAUUCAGAUAAACUCCGAAUGCCAUUGAUUCAUGUCCGGGAGUCAGACGAUGAGUGAUAAGAUCCACCGUCGAAAGGGGAACAGCCCAGACCAUCAGUUAAGGUCCCUAAAUGUAUGCUAAGUGGAAAAGGAUGUGGAGUUGCAUAGACAACUAGGAUGUUGGCUCAGAAGCAGCCACCAUUUAAAGAGUGCGUAAUAGCUCACUAGUCGAGUGAUCCUGCGCCGAAAAUGUACCGGGGCUAAGCAUACUACCGAAACCAUGGAUGCGACCAUUAGGUCGCGUGAUAGGAGAGCGUUCUAAGGGCGGUGAAGCAAGAUCGUGAGGACUUGUGGAGCGCUUAGAAGUGAGAAUGCCGGUAUGAGUAGCGAAAGAUAGGUGAGAAUCCUAUCCACCGAAUGACUAAGGUUUCCUGGGGAAGGCUCGUCCUCCCAGGGUUAGUCGGGACCUAAGUCGAGGCCGAGAGGCGUAGACGAUGGAUAACAGGUUGAGAUUCCUGUACUAGUUAAGUGCGUUUGAGCAAUGGAGGGACGCAGGAGGCUAAGAUGUGCAUUCUGUUGGAUUAGAAUGUCCAAGCAGUAAGUCUUGUGGAGAGUCAAAUGCUUUUCACUUUAAGGACAAGCUGUGAUGGGGAGCGAAAUUUAGUAGCGAAGCGUCUGAUGUCACACUGCCGAGAAAAGCUUCUAGUGAGUACUUAACUACCCGUACCGCAAACCGACACAGGUAGUCGAGGAGAGAAUCCUAAGGUGAGCGAGUGAACUCUCGUUAAGGAACUCGGCAAAAUGACCCCGUAACUUCGGGAGAAGGGGUGCUGAUCGCAAGAUCAGCCGCAGUGAAUAGGCCCAGGCGACUGUUUAUCAAAAACACAGGUCUCUGCAAAAUCGUAAGAUGACGUAUAGGGGCUGACGCCUGCCCGGUGCUGGAAGGUUAAAAGGAUGGGUUAGCUUCGGCGAAGCUCAGAAUUGAAGCCCCAGUAAACGGCGGCCGUAACUAUAACGGUCCUAAGGUAGCGAAAUUCCUUGUCGGGUAAGUUCCGACCCGCACGAAAGGCGUAACGAUCUGGGCACUGUCUCAACGAGAGACUCGGUGAAAUUAUAUUGUCCGUGAAGAUGCGGACUACCCGCGACAGGACGGAAAGACCCCAUGGAGCUUUACUGUAGCUUGAUAUUGAGUGUUUGUACAGCUUGUACAGGAUAGGUAGGAGCCAUAGAAACCGGAACGCUAGUUUCGGUGGAGGCGUUGGUGGGAUACUACCCUCGCUGUAUGACCACUCUAACCCGCACCACUAAUCGUGGUGGGAGACAGUGUCAGGUGGGCAGUUUGACUGGGGCGGUCGCCUCCUAAAAAGUAACGGAGGCGCCCAAAGGUUCCCUCAGAAUGGUUGGAAAUCAUUCGCAGAGUGUAAAGGCACAAGGGAGCUUGACUGCGAGACAGACAGGUCGAGCAGGGACGAAAGUCGGGCUUAGUGAUCCGGUGGUACCGUAUGGAAGGGCCAUCGCUCAACGGAUAAAAGCUACCCUGGGGAUAACAGGCUUAUCUCCCCCAAGAGUCCACAUCGACGGGGAGGUUUGGCACCUCGAUGUCGGCUCAUCGCAUCCUGGGGCUGUAGUCGGUCCCAAGGGUUGGGCUGUUCGCCCAUUAAAGCGGUACGCGAGCUGGGUUCAGAACGUCGUGAGACAGUUCGGUCCCUAUCCGUCGCGGGCGUAGGAAAUUUGAGAGGACCUGUCCUUAGUACGAGAGGACCGGGAUGGACAUACCUCUGGUGUACCAGUUGUGCCGCCAGGCGCAUCGCUGGGUAGCUACGUAUGGAUGUGAUAAACGCUGAAAGCAUCUAAGUGUGAAACACACCUCGAGAUGAGAUUUCCCAUUCCUUUAUGGAAGUAAGACCCCUGAAAGAUGAUCAGGUAGAUAGGUUAGAAGUGGCAGUGCGGUGACGCAUGAAGCGGACUAAUACUAAUCGGUCGAGGACUUAACC